GGAUUAGAUACCCUGGUAGUCCACACUGUAAACGCUGUCUACUAGCUGUGUGUGUAUUUAAUACGUGCGUAGCGCAGCUAACGCGAUAAGUAGACCGCCUGGGGAGUACGGCCGCAAGGUUAAAACUCAAAUGAAUUGACGGGGGCCCGCACAAGCGGUGGAGCAUGUGGUUUAAUUCGAUGCAACGCGAAGAACCUUACCUACACUUGACAUGCCGAGAAGUUUGAAGAGAUUCGAAUGUGCCUUCGGGAACUUGGACACAGGUGCUGCAUGGCUGUCGUCAGCUCGUGUUG
rnacentral:rRNA from 1 species